UNGGCUCACUGGCCUGCGGUAUGGUCUGUC
rnacentral:piRNA from 1 species